AUGCAAGUCGAGCGGAACCAUUGGAGCUUGCUCCUUUGGUUUAACGGCGGACGGGUGAAUAACACGUGGGCCACCUGGCCUGGAGAUCGGGAUAACUCCGGGAAACCGGUGCUAAUACCGAAUAAUUUGGGGCCUCUCCUGGAGCGCCACGGAAAGACGGUUUCCGCUGGCCCUGGAGGAAGGGCCCGCGGCGCAUUAACUAGUUGGGGGGGUAAUGGCCUACCAAGGGGACCAAGCGUAACCCAACUGAAAGGGUGAUCGGCCCCCCUGGGACUGAAACCCGGCCCAAAAUCCUACGGGAAGCAGCAAUAAGGAAUCCUCCGCAAUGGACGAAAGUCUGAAGGAACAACGCCCCGGGAAUGACCAAAGUUUUCCGAACCUAAAACUCUGUUGGGAAGGAAAAACACGUACCAGCUAACUACUGGUACCUUGGCGGUACCUCCCCCAAAAGCCCCGGCUAACUACGUGCCCACAGCCGCGGUAAUACGUAAGUGGCAAGGGUUGUCCGGAAUUAUUGGGCGUAAAGCCCGCGCAGGCCGUUCUUUAAGGUUGAAGGGAAAGCCCACGGCUCCACCGGCGACCGAGGUGAGUGACGGAUCUUGAGAAGACGGCGGUCUGAUGUAUGGAGGGUCAUUGGAAACUGGAGAACUUGAGUGCAGAAGAGGAAAGUGGAAUUCCAUGUGUAGCGGUGAAAUGCGUAGAGAUGUGGAGGAACACCAGUGGCGAAGGCGACUUUCUGGUCUGUAACUGACGCUGAGGCGCGAAAGCGUGGGGAGCAAACAGGAUUAGAUACCCUGGUAGUCCACGCCGUAAACGAUGAGUGCUAAGUGUUAGGGGGUUUCCGCCCCUUAGUGCUGCAGCUAACGCAUUAAGCACUCCGCCUGGGGAGUACGGCCGCAAGGCUGAAACUCAAAGGAAUUGACGGGGGCCCGCACAAGCGGUGGAGCAUGUGGUUUAAUUCGAAGCAACGCGAAGAACCUUACCAGGUCUUGACAUCCCGCUGCCCGGUGUAGAGAUACGCCUUUCCCUUCGGGGACAGCGGUGACAGGUGGUGCAUGGUUGUCGUCAGCUCGUGUCGUGAGAUGUUGGGUUAAGUCCCGCAACGAGCGCAACCCUUGAUCUUAGUUGCCAGCAUUCAGUUGGGCACUCUAAGGUGACUGCCGGUGACAAACCGGAGGAAGGUGGGGAUGACGUCAAAUCAUCAUGCCCCUUAUGACCUGGGCUACACACGUGCUACAAUGGACGGUACAAAGGGCUGCAAACCCGCGAGGGGGAGCCAAUCCCAGAAAACCGUUCUCAGUUCGGAUUGCAGGCUGCAACUCGCCUGCAUGAAGCCGGAAUCGCUAGUAAUCGUGGAUCAGCAUGCCACGGUGAAUACGUUCCCGGGCCUUGACACACCGCCCGUCACACCACGAGAGUUUGUAACACCCGAAGUCGGUGAGUAACCCUUGUGGAGCCAGCCGCCGAAGGUGACCGAUGUCC
rnacentral:rRNA from 1 species